rnacentral:rRNA from 1 species
CCUACGGGUGGCAGCAGUGAGGAAUAUUGGUCAAUGGCCGGAAGGCUGAACCAGCCAUGCCGCGUGAAGGUCAGUGCCCUAUGGGCGUUAAACUUCUUUUGUGCGGGAGCAAAAAUGGUAACGUGUGGCCAGACGAGAGUACCGUACGAAUAAGCAUCGGCUAACUCCGUGCCAGCAGCCGCGGUAAGACGGGGGAUGCAAGCGUUAUCCGGAUUUAUUGGGUUGGAAGGGUGCGUAAGCUGUGAGGUAAGUCAGCGGUGAAAUGCCCCCGCUCAACGGGGUGAAGUGCCAUUGAUACUGCCCUGCUGGAGUGCGGAUGCCGUAGGAGGAAUG